rnacentral:rRNA from 1 species
UGGAAAGACGGCGGACGGGUGAGUAACGCGUAGGCAACCUACCCUUUGCAGAGGGAUAGCCUCGGAAACCGGGAUUAAAACCUCAUAAUACCGCAGUGAGACAUCUCACGGUGGUCAAAGAUUUAUCGGCAAAGGAUGGGCCUGCGUCUGAUUAGUUAGUUGGUGGGGUAACGGCCUACCAAGGCGACGAUCAGUAGCCGACCUGAGAGGGUGAUCGGCCACAUUGGAACUGAGACACGGUCCAA